rfam:Camelus ferus unplaced genomic scaffold scaffold1086, whole genome shotgun sequence.
GAAGGGAAGAGCUCAGUGGCAGAGUGAAUGCUUAGCAUGCAUGAGGUCCUGGGUUCAAUCCCCAGUACCUCCA